rnacentral:pre_miRNA from 1 species
GUCUGUCUAUUUAACAGCAGAAGGGAAGAAGAAUGAUGCCUGCAGUACUCCUGGCUUUCUUCUUCUUCUUCUUCUUCUUCUUCUUCUUCU